rnacentral:rRNA from 1 species
AACCUGGUUGAUCCUGCCAGUAGUCAUAUGCUUGUCUCAAAGAUUAAGCCAUGCAUGUCUAAGUAUGAACUGCUUAUACUGUGAAACUGCGAAUGGCUCAUUAAAUCAGUUAUAGUUUAUUUGAUGGUACCUACUACUCGGAUAACCGUAGUAAUUCUAGAGCUAAUACGUGCGUAAAUCCCGACUUCUGGAAGGGACGUAUUUAUUAGAUUUAAGGCCAACCGAGCUUGCUCGUCUCUUGGUGAAUCAUGAUAACUUCACGAAUCGCAUGGCCUCGCGCCGGCGAUAUUUCAUUCAAAUUUCUGCCCUAUCAAUUGGCGAUGGUAGGAUAGAGGCCUACCAUGGUGUUAACGGGUGACGGGGGAUUAGGGUUCGAUUCCGGAGAGGCAGCCUGAGAAACGGCUACCACAUCCAAGGAAGGCAGCAGGCGCGCAAA